rnacentral:lncRNA from 1 species
CUGGUUCCUCGGUGAAAAUCAAAUGAAGCUUUGCUUGUUGCACUCCAAUAUAGCCAGGAACAUUAAUUCUUUGAGAUUCAUCUCUCCUAUAAACUCGGAGGAAUUUCCAAGGUCCAAGCUGAAGAAGCGUUCCAAAAUUUAAUAAUGUCUAAGUCCUUCCACAGAAAGCUGCAAUAUGUAGUCAAUCCCAAACAAACUAUAGAUAGAGCCUCUAUAAACUGCAUGAAUCCUGCUAACAAUUCAAGAAAUGGAAUGUCGUGAUAAGGUAAUUUUCAUAACGAUAAGGCAAGCAACAGCAAAUAUACAUCAACAAAUCUAAAUUAAAAAUUCAUCAGAAGAUGUUCUACUUUAGGCACCUGUUCCCUGUGUUAGUGAAACAAACAGGACACAUCAGGUAUCCAAGCAAAAUAACCUCU